AGUGAACGCUGGCGGUAGGCCCAACACAUGCAAGUCGAACGGCAGCACAGUAAGAGCUUGCUCUUACGGGUGGCGAGUGGCGGACGGGUGAGGAAUACAUCGGAAUCUACUUUUUCGUGGGGGAUAACGUGGGGAAACUUACGCUAAUACCGCAUACGACCUACGGGUGAAAGCAGGGGAUCUUCGGACCUUGCGCGAUUGAAUGAGCCGAUGUCGGAUUAGCUAGUUGGCGGGGUAAAGGCCCACCAAGGCGACGAUCCGUAGCUGGUCUGAGAGGAUGAUCAGCCACACUGGAACUGAGACACGGUCCAGACUCCUACGGGAGGCAGCAGUGGGGAAUAUUGGACAAUGGGCGCAAGCCUGAUCCAGCCAUACCGCGUGGGUGAAGAAGGCCUUCGGGUUGUAAAGCCCUUUUGUUGGGAAAGAAAAGCAGCAGGUUAAUACCCCGCUGUUCUGACGGUACCCAAAGAAUAAGCACCGGCUAACUUCGUG
rnacentral:rRNA from 1 species